UGGGGAAUAUUGCACAAUGGGCGCAAGCCUGAUGCAGCGACGCCGCGUGGGGGACGACGGCCUUCGGGUUGUAAACCUCUUUCGCCGGGGACGAAGCGUUAAGUGACGGUACCCGGAGAAGAAGCGCCGGCCAACUACGUGCCAGCAGCCGCGGUAAUACGUAGGGCGCGAGCGUUGUCCGGAAUUACUGGGCGUAAAGAGCUCGUAGGCGGCCUGUCGCGUCGCCCGUGGAAACCCGGGGCUCAACCCCGGGCGCGCGGGCGAUACGGGCAGGCUCGAGUGGUGCAGGGGAGACUGGAAUUCCUGGUGUAGCGGUGAAAUGCGCAGAUAUCAGGAGGAACACCGGUGGCGAAGGCGGGUCUCUGGGCAUCAACUGACGCUGAGGAGCGAAAGCGUGGGGAGCGAACAGG
rnacentral:rRNA from 1 species